GGUUCACGACCAAACGAUACGCUAUUACUAGGAUGAUAGCAAUAUCAAGUAUAGAUCGUUGCGUGCUAUAUACGUUGAUUGUCCUCGUAGCCAAAUGGUGUGGAGACACUAGCAUGGCAUGCAAGUGAGAUGUAGGAGCACAUCAUCGCUGAAUGUGACCAACUGCGGAGCACUCUACUAUUAAGGGUAGCUCACGAAAGGUAUGGAUAUAAGUGUCUCUCCAACCUG
rnacentral:lncRNA from 1 species